rnacentral:hammerhead_ribozyme from 1 species
AUUCAGCUGAUGAAUCUCAAGUAGGACGAAACGCGCUUCCUGGAU